rnacentral:rRNA from 1 species
GGACCCGCACAAGCGGUGGAUUAUGUGGAUUAAUUCGAUGCAACGCGAAAAACCUUACCUACCCUUGACAUGUCAGAAAGUUUUCAGAGAUGAAUUCGUGCUCGAAAGAGAAUCUGAACACAGGUGCUGCAUGGCUGUCGUCAGCUCGUGUCGUGAGAUGUUGGGUUAAGUCCCGCAACGAGCGCAACCCUUGUCAUUAAUUGCCAUCAUUUAGUUGGGCACUUUAAUGAGACUGCCGGUGAUAAACCGGAGGAAGGUGGGGAUGACGUCAAGUCCUCAUGCCCCUUAUGGGUAGGGCUUCACACGUAAUACAAUGGCGCGUACAGAGGGUUGCCAACCCGCGAGGGGGAGCUAAUCUCAGAAAGCGCGUCGUAGUCCGGAUCGGAGUCUGCAACUCGACUCCGUGAAGUCGGAAUCGCUAGUAAUCGCGGAUCAGCAUGUCGCGGUGAAUACGUUCCCGGGUCUU